rnacentral:rRNA from 1 species
UACAGGGGGGCAAGCGUUGUUCGGAAUUACUGGGCGUAAAGGGCCAGUAGGCGGCCAACUAAGUCACACGUGAAAUCCCAGGCUUAACCUGGGAACUGCGUGUGAUACUGGAUGGCUUGAAUUCGGGAGAGGAUGCAGAAUUCCAGGUGUAGCGGUGAAAUGCGUAGAUAUCUGGAGGAAUACCGGUGGCGAAGGCGGCAUUCUGGACCAUUACUGACGCUGAGGAGCGAAAGCCAGGGGAGCAAACGGGG